rnacentral:tRNA from 1 species
UGGGGUCUGGCUUAGUGGUAAAGUAGUUACUUAGCAUGAGCAAGACCCUGGGUUUAAUUCCCAGCACUGCAA